AUUGAACGCUGGCGGCAUGCUUUACACAUGCAAGUCGAACGGCAGCGCGGGCUUCGGCCUGGCGGCGAGUGGCGAACGGGUGAGUAAUGCAUCUGAACGUGCCCUGUAUUCGGGGAUAGGCCGGCGAAAGCGGGAUUUAUACCGCAUACGACCUUUUGUUGAAAUUGGGUGGGCGAGAGUCCUCGCGCUUUUUGAGUGGGCGAAGUGGGUUUAGCUAGUUGGGGGGGUAAAUGGUUUCCGAGGCGGCGAAGCGUAACUGGUACUAAGGGACGACCCGCCAGAUUGGGACUGAGACAGGGCCGAGACUCCUACGGGAGGAAGCAGCGGGGAAUCUUGGACAAUGGGGGAAAGCCUGAUACAGCAAUGCCGCGUGCGGGAAGAAGGCCUUCGGGUUGUAAACCGCUUUUGUUCGGGAAGAAAUACUCUGGGCUAAUACGCCGGGGGGAUGACGGUACCGGAAGAAUAAGCACCGGCUAACUACGUG
rnacentral:rRNA from 1 species